ensembl:lncRNA
CUGGUCUCUCAGAAGCAGGGAGAGAGCACCAUACAUCUUGCAGCAUGUCCUUACCAGCUCGGAAAGCUUUGCCCUUGCAUUACUGCCAGUAAACUGUUCCUAACAUUUGUUACGCUUUAUAUUAAUGGAUGCUACAUUUUCCCAUUUCAUACCCUACCAAACAGCAUGAUGGGAUGACAGCAUCAAACAGGUAGUAGGCAGAAGUGAUGCAUGAAAACUACCCUUAGCUGGAGAGCCAUACUGUUUUUUUCCGCUUUCUUACAGUGGCUGUUGGUUGUUCUUAAUCACCUGCCUCACGCAGGCAGGCACUGGCUGGGGAGCUAAGGGAAGGGCUGAGUCCAAAACACAUGGUAACUAAGCAGCAGGACUUGAGACGCUGUCUGGAAAAACAACAGAGACUCACCUCCUACUAUUUUUCUUCCAGGGAAGCAGCUCCCAUUGCGCCAUUUUCCUGGCAGAAGAAGUUAUGAUCUUCAGGAAAAAGCUUCUUUCAGAGUGGGUUAUGUUUUAAUUUGUUGUUGUUGCUGUUGUUUUCAAGCUGUGUAUGUGUGAGGAAAUGGCAUGGAGUGGAGGGGGGAAGUUGUCUCUGACAUCUGCAGGUUCAUCUUGGAAAGAGUGGAAGGAGGGAGGACUGAAGUACAUGGCCUGCAUCUGUUCCAAGAGGAACCCGAACAGAAGGAGGUUGUACUUGUUUUUCUGUUUGUACUUCUGGAGAUGAUGCCAUUAAUUAUGUGUUUACAACACUUCAGCUCUUCUUCCUAGCUUAGGCUCAAAGCUCAUAGUCCUGACUCAGCUCCAAAAAUCCACUGAGGUAGGUGGGACAGUCGUUCUGACACAAUAUUUAAUAUCAGGCCUAAAGGCUGGAUCUAGUCAAAGAAAAACAUCUACUCUAUGAAAGCAAAUGUAUCUUAUAAACAGUAGAAGCUGCUCCCCACUCACUGGAUGCUGAAGACAGAGGAUGGUUGUACUUCCUCAGCCAUCAUCAUCCAUAGCAUUUACUGUGGGGAUGACAGCUGUCUCCUGAUAAUGAUUUCCCUAGCACAGCAAUGUCCAGCCAGCAGCCAGAUUUCACCAAGAAUCUGUGAGGGACACCUUGAGAACUCACUGAGAAUUGCAGUUACUUCCUCUGAACCAGACUGACGUGUUAGUUUCACAAAAACAAGGUCACAUAUCCCACUGGUUUUAUGUUUUUGUUGUUCUCUUCUUUAUAUGUUUUAAUAGAAGAACAUUAAAAAUUAAAGUAAGUUUUGUCACUUAUAUACAUUAUCAAUAUUAUAAGAGCUGCUCCAAAAGUAAUACCUCCUGCUUUAUGGUGUCAGCUCAGGAUGUCAGAGGUGGGCAUUGGUGGUAUGGCAGAAGUUGAACCUUCCCACCACAAUUCCAUUACGUUUUGUUGCUGUGUGACAGAUGGCAGCAGAGGGACAGUCUGACACAAUGAAGUCUGACAUGGAAGUGCAUAUGAAGCAAAGGUGUGUAAUUGAAUUCCUUCAUGUGGAAAAAAUGGCACCCACUGACAUUCAUUGGCACUUGCUGGAGACUAAACCAUGGAUGUGAGCACAGUGAGGUGGUGGCUGGUACAUUUCAGCAGUGAUGACAGCAACAGUGAGUGACCUCAACUAGUGCAGAUUGUUACGAGCACAGCAUGCGGGCUUUUGUUCAUUUUGUUAAUUGUUUAUUUACAACUAAUGGUGGUGACUGCGUUGAAAAAGAGUGUUUUAUAGCUGAGAAUAUUCUCUGUUCAGUAGUGUUAUUGUGCUCUCUGUAUCUGAGGUAGUUUCCAUGGAAACAAUUAGGAGGCAUUACUUUCAGAGCAACCCUCAUAGAUGCAGCCCUACACAAUUCCUCUUCACUCAAUGCAGCCAGGCAAGCCAAAAGGUUGGACACCCAUUUCUUGGCACGAGCAGGAUAAAGGACAUCCUUUCUUCUGAAACUACUCCUUCUCUUAAAAGCUUGAUGAAAUAUUUCGUUCAAAUUUUAAGGUGACAAAAGCAGAUGAAUAAUUCUCAUUUAAUACUGUUUACUGUGGACUUCUUUUCACAUCCUAUGGUGAUUUCCCUUUUUUUUUCCAUCAGUUUGAUUACAGCCAGUCAGCCAUAAUUCAAGCAUCCUGGCAUGCACCAGCUAGUGUCACAGCAGUGUCCUUGGGAGGCCAGGCUUUCAAAGGAUGCAGUGAGUGCUUCUGAAAAGAAGCAAAUUUAAUGUCUUAAAGCUACCUUGAGAAUCACAGAACAUUGUUUGUACACUCACACUGUGCCCUAGCAAAUGCUCUUCAUCUUGCAUGAAUGGAGAUAUGCUGUACCCAUAUAUGUAAGCCAGUUAAUUGCUUCUGGAGUUCGCUUUAAAAAAAUUACUUCUAAAUGACAGGAUUCACAUAAACAGAGCAAUCUGAUGCCUGAACCUGUGCUUCAAAAAGACACCUUAAAUUUCGGUGAUAAGGAGCUUGUAUGAAAGCUUGUAAUUGAAAGCUGGAGUGAAUUAGGCAUGUAUGCAGAUAUGUGUAUUAGAAUGUGCUACAGUGAGGGAUGCCCUGCCAACAGAUCCCUGUGCCUUUGUGCAGUUUUGGUAGAGAAUGAUGGAAAGUUGCACAGAAUCAGAGGUUGCCACAGCAGUAUCUUUGAAACCCUCUUUUAAUAUUCAUGAAAGAGUCAUAAAAAACUUUUUUGAAUGAUAGCAUAUUUAAUGACAGUCACUGAGUCAUAUGAAACCAAUCUUCUUUUUCAUAUAACAAACAAACUGAGACAUCUGUCCUAUAAAAUAACAGUAGGCUGUGUCUCAUGAAGACACUGUUUUGGAUUGAUAUGAAUCUAAAUGAACAAAAACUGAUACUCGGGUUUUCAGUUUUGUAAUUGAUUUCCUAUAGUUUAGUCCUCUGAUAUGUGAAUGCAUCCCUAUCUGUACAGUAGUGUUUCGUGUAAUAUUUGAAGCAGAUUUUCAAUACCUCACACAGAAAAUACCGACUCAGCUUCACUGUUAGUGUGAAAAGAACGAACAGUUUCUUUCUCACAGCCUGCUGACAUAACGGUCUUCCCUUGGAGUAUUUCAGUCCUUGCUCAUCUUGGGAUUAAUGGAACCAGUACUUACAGCUGCAGUGCCAGAGGCAGGACCCAUAUAUUUCUUUGACCAGAUGAAAGCUAGAAUGAAAGAGAGGGACAGGGAGAUAUCAGGAGAAGUGUCCUCGUAUUGCCACGCGCUCACUACAAAUCCUCAUCCCAUCAGCUGUACUCCCAGGUAAUGGUGUCAUGUCAGUAGUGGUGGGAGCAGGCAAGUUUCUGUAAACUAGUUUUUCAGGAAAGGCACAAAUGAGUCCUGAGGUAGAUGUGGUCAAGGCAGAAUGGGGCAGCUGGGGAGGUGAAUGACCAGAGGUGACACCCUGCCAUGCAGUGGGAGGAGAGGGAGACAAGUGGGAAGGUGGUAGUGUCCUGUACCGACUCCUCACUUCUUGAGGUGUGUUACCUAAUAUUCAUUUCUGCUGUCAACAUUUCAUGAGUUUAAUAUGUUUAAUGUACAAAUCUUGAACUAAGAGUCUUGAGCACUGCAUUUCAGCAGGAAUAGUUCAAAGUGUACACUGUCAGUGCAGAUGUUCCCUGGUUUGGCAAUGGCUGCACUAGAUUGUCUCCUGCUGCUCUGCACAAGUAUUUCAGAGCUUGAUCUAGGAGCGUCCUUGGAAGGAAAUGUGGUGCAGUCUCAACUGUGAAAGGGGCACUGCCAGCCUCUGCAUGUUGGUUUGAGGCAGCAAAACUGUUCUGUGUGUCCUUUAAUUGUUAUUGCUCUCACUGAACUAUCCAGCUGUUUUUACUCCUCAGCCUGACUGAAGGCAGGAAUCCCUUCUGCGCAGGGGAGUAUACAGAAAGACAUGAAGAUGGUUUCUUAAAUGUUGAUACAAAAAAAGAGAAAGAUCCAGUUUUGCAUCAAAUAUCUCAUCAUUCCCUGUAUAAAACCACUACAGAGGACUCAAACCCAAAGGUCUCCCAACGUGCUCUGAUCCCACAGGCAGACAAGGACUCACUCACCACUUAACAUGUUGAAUAAGUCUGCAUCUGCAACUUGGGGAGAAGUGGCAGCUCCUGGCUAGGUAUCAGACUGGUUUUCCACUGGAACUUGUAACUGUGCUUACCUGCAGCUGGAGGGAACUCACUGUGAGGGCUGAUUUCUGUAAACAGCAGCAGAAGUUGCUAUCAUACAGAAGCAUGAGAUCCAGGAGAAGCCAGGCCUCAGAGGAGGUUAAGAAUAGUACUCUGGCAUCCAAAUGUAAGGAGCAUGAAAUCACUGCCAUCAGAAAAGAACAACACAAGAAAGGCUUUAUUCUAUCAUCCUGCACUACAAAGGGAGAAAUAAAUCCUGAGACAGCAUCAAACGCACCUUCAGAAAGUGAAGGUAAUACAGUGCUGCACAAAUGUGCUGUGUUGUAACGUUUGGCCAAAAAAAAGGAAAAAAGUGCUUUCUGUUAAGAAUACACCAUUGGCUGGAUAGGCCAAUGUGCUCCAGCUUAUAACUGGAUAUACUGCAGUUCUUUGCAAAGCACUGGUUUAGGACAUGAUGAAAUAGCUUUGCAGCUGAAGCAAGAGGUACAAACACUUGAGAAGAACAAAGCCGGUGAAACUGGGCAAUGUUUCAAGUCAUUUAGCAAAGCAUUUUUAGUCUCCUCUUUCAAGGUGAGUGAUAGAGUCAUAACACAUUGCACCAGUAGAGAAGAUUUGCAUCUAAAGCAUUUCAUUCUGCGAGUAUCAGUGAUUGCAAGUGCUGAACCUAGUGUUGGGAAGAAGCCUGUUACAGUUCUCCAGUCACCCAUCACAGUCAGCUUCUCACUUUCAUCCAACAUUUGUGAGGAACAAGGUUUGAUUUUCCAGCUUUCUAACCCAAAGUCUGAAGACGUUCAUCAGAAUCUGCCUUAUGUGUGGACCCUGAAAAGAGCAAGCAUUUAACCUGAAAGAAGUUGGGUUUGACAAACCAAUUAUUCUACAGCAUUAUGGUGAUUACAGAGGAGAAACUUUCCCCAGGACAUGGAAGGUUCAGGCUGGCAGGACUGUCACAUCAAAGCUGCCAUAUGACAAACCUCAGAUUCCAGUGGUCAAGAGAGCAAACACAGCACAGAGAAAACUGCACUACAGACUGAAUGAUGGCUCAUCCUUCAUUUAAUAUCCUUUCUUAAGCUCACUUAAAUUCCUGUAAGUGUGUGAAAGGCAGGGGGAGGACUUCUACCGAAGGACAAUCACACAGCGUGUAGCUGAACCGCUUCCAAAAUCCAGCUACAUAUAAAAGAACAAGACUUUAUUCUUUGGGCUUCUUAUCAGACUCUAUUUAUAUGGUACCACAUCUAUAGUCGGUCUACAACAGCAAAGCCCAGUGUGCGUCAGGUGGGUUGAAAGGCAUAAAAAAAAAAAAAAAAACCCAAAAAAAACUGCAGAAUGAACAAUGCAGUUUUAAAUUAACAGUAUCAGACUGCAAACUAUUUAAAGUAUGACCUUGUCGUGAACAAAGACCACUUUAUCAAUCACAAACAUAAUCACAAACAUCAAGAUGUAUUAGGAACUGUGCAAGUCUGCUCUGUUACAAGUCCACAGAAGACACCAUGCCUCAUAAACCUACUUCUGAGUCAUACAUUGCUCCUGCAAAGGACACUUUUGACCUGUACCAGCAUGAGUUUCCUGCUAUCUUUUAUUAGUUCAGUAACGUGAAUUUUGUGCUGAGAGCUUUGCCUGCUCAUCCUCUAUCACUCCCAAUCCACUUAUUCAAGGAAGAAGAUGACUGGGUUGGUAGCUUCGCUUUCUCUUAUGCACAUGGACUGAAUACCCUGUCUUAGAGCUGAUGAUGUUAGUCCCUGUGUUCUCUGCAUGGUUAAGUAACAGAAGCUACAGAGUUGGAGAGAGAAUGAUAACUUAACUCCUUGACUCUCAUUUUAGCUAUCCAUCUGAAUAUCUUGCGGUUUGCCAGAGCUGCUGCAAUCUCCCAUGUAGGGGGAUGUAUACCAACAUAUUUAGCCCUUCUCCAGAUCAUUCUAUAGGUGGAACUUUCACCUCUUUUGGACAUGGCAGCAUCUAUCUUCCUAACAGCAACACUGUAACCAUGAUGUUUAAUCAGGAAGGAGGUCUGGUGACUAAUGAAGAUGAAGAAAUGGUCAGAGAAUGGAAAUGGCCUCGGGAUGGCAAGCUGGCCCAGCCAGUUAUAGCACGGGUUAAUGAAUUCAUCACAGUGAGGAUUGCAGGACGCUUUGCAAUUAGCUUGGUCUACAAGUGGCAACAUGAAAGUAUGUGCUUGUCUUUGUCACGGCCGCGGGGUGCGGCUCUUCCGCGGUUAGAAGAAUCGGUAUGUUGCAACUGCUGCAGUACUGCACUUUAUCAACUUUGUUCUGCAGAUUCUGGAACUGAUGAGCUUUUCUAUAAAAUAUGCUUCCCGAUGUUAGCACUAAGAGCAGUGCUACAGAGUGAUCAAAUUAGGCCUUCCGGAGAGUGAAUAAAAAGCAGAUUUAUGCUGAUGACUACCUACUACAGAUCUGGCCCAAAGGGACACAGCUUUCCACGCGCUUAGAUUCCUAUUUAUGCUUCCUCCCCCCCCCCAGACUUAGCCCAGUACGAGGUGGUUAUACCUUUUUGUGCUGCAGAUGGUGUACUGAAUGAUGCCCUAAGAAAUCCUGAUCCAAAUCUUCCUUUCCUUCAUUUCUGUGCAGUGAGCUGGCUGUCUAUCUAGGUUUAUCAUCUAGCCAAAGCCUGAUAUCUUCAUGUCUUUCAGUUCAAUGUUGGGUUGAAAUACAUGUUGUUAGAACAGAUUUUUGUGUGUGUGUGAUUUUGGGGUCAGGAAAAAAUAGUUAUGAAACAAUUGUUGGAAAAGCAGAAGAAAUCUGUCAUCCAAGUAAAACAAAAAUAAAACAGAUCACGCUGGUUCAGAGUUAAUUUCCUUCUCCCUGUAAGUAUUUAGUCUAGAAAUUGUAGAAACAGACACUGUGGAUUUGUAAUAGGCAUGUAUAUACAUAUCAUUGAGUUUAAAAGAAAUUUAGAUUAACUCCUAAACUUCUGAGAAGUUAAAUUUGUCAGAGUUUUUAAAUGGCUUUUCAUAAAAGAAGUAUUUCACUAUAUGUAGCACAUAGGCUUAGGUGUUAGGAUGUGGCCCAUCGAGCAACUUCAAGUAGCAUCACCAUCAUUAGCUGAAAAACCUGACUUCUCACUCAGGCACAUUUCCACUGAUGUGGGAAAGGAAAUGUUCUAAAUGAGGGAAGAUAAAGGUAGUAAAUGAACAAAUUCAAACAAUUAACUAUUUUUCAUUUGUUUGGAAACAAAAAUCACUCAAUUUGUGUUUCAUAAGAUGGACUGCUGCUUUUUUAACAGUUUGUCAAUUCUUUGAUUAAAGAAGAUGAGAGACUCCUAAUAUAGCCUAUAAUACCUCUGUAAAACUGGGAUGAGAAUCAACAUCUUAUUCCCUCUAGCUCCAGAAAAGCCUGGGCCAUAACAAUAAUAGAGCUACCCUUGAGUUCUUGUAAGACUGCCAUCUGAAACACCACCAGAAAAAGGCUUCCUGAGAUUAAUGAUUCACUGGAUAUCUUUCCCUGGUGGAACUGGAAGGGUCACUGCUCUAAGGGACUAUAAGGAAAUGGGGAGAAGUGGAAUAGCAGGAGCCCUGGGCUCAUUCACAACCCUCAAUAGGUGUUCAGGAUUUAUUCAAGUACCAGUUCUGACUUCUUU